GGCAAAUUCCUGGGAUAGCUCAGUCGGUAGGACAUGAGACUCCAAAUCUGAGGAUUGUGGGUUGGAGCCUCACAUUUGGCA